CCUACGGGAGGCAGCAGUGGGGAAUAUUGGACAAUGGGCGCAAGCCUGAUCCAGCCAUGCCGCGUGAGUGAUGAAGGCCUUAGGGUCGUAACGCUCUUUUGUGCGGGAAGCUGUACCGCAAGAAUAAGCCCCGGCUAACUUCGUGCCAGCAGCCGCGGUAAUACGAAGGGGGCUAGCGUUGCUCGGAAUCACUGGGCGUAAAGCGCACGUAGGCGGACUCUUAAGUCGGUGGUGAAAUCCUGGAGCGCAACUCCAGAACUGCCGUCGAUACUGGGAGUCUUGAGUUCGGGAGAGGUGAGUGGAACUGCGAGUGUAGAGGUGAAAUUCGUAGAUAUUCGCAAGAACGCCAGUGGCGAAGGCGGCUCACUGGCCCGAACUGACGCUGAGGUGCGAAAGCGUGGGGAGCAAACAGGAUUAGAUACCCUUGUAGGC
rnacentral:rRNA from 1 species